ensembl:rRNA 5S_rRNA 5S ribosomal RNA
CUUCUCAGCCAUACCACCCUGAACACGCCCGAUCUCGUCUGAUCUCGGAAGCUAAGCAGGGUCGAAAAAAGGAGUAGCAGGGGCCGUGCUGGUUCAGAGGG